AAGUUCAAUAGAUCAACGUUUCAACCUAUUCAGGUCUUGAUCUUGAUAAAGACCUGAAUAGGUCGAAACGUUGAUCUAUUGAACUUUGAAUUUAU
rnacentral:miRNA from 1 species